UCUUAUGCAUGAGCAAAGACAGUGGUUUCUUGGAAUAGAAUCUACUCCUGGUGAAGGUGCUGUGAA
rnacentral:pre_miRNA from 2 species